rnacentral:lncRNA from 1 species
AUGCGCAGCGCUGCUGGCCCGCUCUCUGAGGAGCUUUCAAUACUUUGGGGUCAAGUUUGAGGCAGUUGUAACUGUACUGAGUUUAGUUUUGCUAAUAAUGGUAUUCUACGUGUGUCAGCCUCGUGUGGACUUCUGUAAUGACUAAUGGAUAUGUUUAUAUCCUGAGCAUUUGCUGUAGGAAUUUUAAAUGCAAUCCCAAAACUCAAGAUUACCUUAUUUGGAGAAAUAUUCGUGUUACUAUGUUUAAAAUUUAAUAGAACCAUAUUUUACCUUUCACUUUGGGACUCGCACAGGAUGUUUGCAGCUCUUGAUAUACAGGAACUAGAACGUGUCUUUUAAGAGCAUGCGGUUUUAUAAUUACGUGGAAGUAUGCUACGCAAGGGAAAAAAGCCUCUUGCUAAUGCUUUGAUGUCUUAAAUGGUACAUCCAAACUUAAGUGAAAUAGAGCUGUGAGGACAUUUUGGGGAGAAGUGACCUAGAUAAGCACUGACUGUUGCAUUCAUCUCUCUUCUUGCUGAUUGUGAUGAUUUCCUGUGCCAUAGCCAUUCAAAGUCUGCCAAAAAAGAGUGGAGAAGGAGCAGUUUUUCCAUUUCCCUGAAAAGAAUUGAGUGAAGUUGACAGCAGGAUUGCAGAAGUGGGAGGACCCAAGAGCUAUGCCACGUGUACCUCCUGCCUGAUGUCUUCCCAGAUGUAUACUUCAGGAAGAAUUAAAUAUUCCUGCAAUUCUGGUUUCACAAAAUAUUAUAUGUAGUUCUAUUAAUUUCCAUUCCAUUGUAUUUUCAUUGCUCUUUUCAUGACUUUAUUUCCCAUAGUUUCAUGAAAACAGGAAUUAAAUCAACUUGAGAGGUUUUCCAAGAAUAUAAAAUAAAACAAAUAGAUGAAAGUGAUGAAAGAAAAUAUGAAAGAUGUGGAGGACAGAAAACACACAUCUAAUAUAAGGAUUCUGGGUUUUUUUUUCUGGACAAGAAAUCAAAAUAACAGGAAGAGAAGAAAUAACAUAAUUACAGAAAAUUUUGUGGAACUGAAAAAUGUUUACUUAUGAAAUUGGAAAACCUCAGCAAAUUCUUGGCAAUACUAAUAAAAAAGAAUUUGCAUGUUAUUUGGGUAAAAAUAUAGGACAGCAAGAAGAAACAAAAAACAGGCUGGAUUUUCAUUUUUCUGCCAUAGUUACACUUUUUCAAGGAGAAAUGUUGAGAUAUAAGCAUUUUAUUCACAAAUUAGUUUUUCCUAUAUGAAAGCAAUAGAAAACUAUCAUCAGAUAGGCAAGGGUUCAGAAAAUACGUCAUAAACAUUUUGAAAAAAAUGUCCUAAUAUGUAGUUCACCUUAACUGUGCUAUGAAUGAAAAUAAAUGCUCAAAGUAGGAUGAGCAAUGACGGCAGGUGGUCCAUCAGAAGAAGCCACUAGGGGGACACCAGCUGCAGCAGGGGAGGUGUGGGCCAGGGCUGCAUACUCAAUGGAGCUGGCAGGCCAGAGACAACACUGCUGAGUUGGUGGGGUGGGAACCCUGCUCUCCCAGCUGGGUGGCUGCAGCUGCAGACCGGGCAUCUGUGUACUCCCAGGGACCCAGAAAGCCCCCCAUUUCCUGUAGGCUCAAUAGUGCCUGCUUCCGCUGUCUGGCUUCUCCCUGCUCCUGGCACUCACUCCGAUUUUGGAGCAAAAUUGAGGCCAGUCCAGGUGCUGUCAUGAUCUGACCAGGUGUAUCUGUGCUUAGGGCAGUGCUGACACGCCAGCCCCCUUCCAUCUGGGACCCCUCUGGACUUUGGGCACUGAUAAGCAUGGGAGGGAGGCUGAGGCGGUGCUGAGGGCAGCUCAGCGUAGGCCUGCAUGUGCCCCUCAGCACAAACAGCCUGGGUGCCAUGCGCGUCAUGGAUGGUAGGUUGAUGGCAACAGGAGGCAGGCAGGCUCCUAGCGGAAAGGUGCAAGUCCCUAGUCAAGCCCCACCUUCAAGCCAGGGACGGCCUGAAGCCAGGUGGCUGGACUGCCAGUUUCAUGGAUUGCAGUGAGAACUUAUGGUGCUUUUUCCGGGCUGCCCAUGGCUGCCCAGGAGCCAAUCAGCAUCCACUUCCUCCCUUCUGAGCCUGUAAAAACCCUAGACUUAGCCAGACUUGGACAGCGAUCAGGACUACCAGCUGCGAGAAGGAGCUACCUACUUUGGGUUUCCUUGACUCAUCAGGACCACCAGCUGCGAGAAGGAGCUACCUACUUUGGGUUUCCUUGACUCAUCAGGACCAACUGCCUGUGGAAAGGUGCUAGAAGCUACGGACUAGAGGUCUCCUCUCUGCUGAGAGCUGGACACUCUUUGGGACAACCUGCCUGUGGAAAGGAGCUACCCACUUCAGGUCUCCUGAGAGCUGUUCUGUUCCUCAAUGAAGCUCCUGUCUGCCUUGCUCACCCUCCGGUUGUCUGCAGAACUUAUUCUUCCUGGAUGUGGGACAGGCUACGGAUGAUAAGGAGAGAAGAGAAGAGUUGUAGCCUUUGGGGAGCCCAGACCUUAGGGGCUCUCCAAGCCAGAGUUGGGACACCCUCUUUGGGGCUUUGUGGUUCCUGGCAUCUCCAAGUUUCCAGGCGCCACUGCAUUCCCCUCAUCCAGAUGCAGGUGCCCACAGCAGAAGCUGCAUGCAGUACCUCUGGUCCAGCCAUAGCCUUGAAUGGAGCUGGCACCUGGAGCUGACAAUCUCAUCGCAGCCACUGGUGUGCCUGGUUGUGUGUAGUGGCAGGACCCUCCAUUGCCGUACCCACACACCCCUCACCACUUUGUGCCUGCUAGCCCUUGGCAGCUGUGGGAUCCCGGCCAGUAGCACGAGCCAAGUGCAGCCUGCCGGGCUGAGUGGGUGGAAGGAGUCCAGCAGGUGUGAACAAUACUGAGGCAGAAGGCACUGCCAGCCACAGAGGUUUCCAGUUGGCAAAGCAACACCCCAAGGAUCUCAUGACAGUAAUAUUAUAAAAGGUGAUAGAUUAACCUACAAGAUUAUCGCCAACUAUGAUGCACUAUUAUCACAAAAGUUAUAACAACAAUUUGUACCUCAGAGUCACAAAUCUUUUAAAUGAUCACCAAAAUGAAUUUUAAGAAAGUAUAUAGCAUGUUAAUGGCUUUCAUAGUGGUACCUGGAUAAAAAUUAAACUAAAACAAUUGUAAUUUCUUUAAUUUAUUAUUGAAAUAAACUGGUGAUUUGGUGCAAUUAUUCCCAAUGUAACAGAAACAUCUCUGUUAGUCAGAAUGUAUCUCCAGAUCUAUGGUUUCUACUAAAUAAUAUUAUUAAAUAAUAUUACAACUAUCUAUUUUUUUGUGCUGUGGUAGAGACUGUUUUGCUUAGUAAAUCCAUAAUAACCUUUUCUUAGUUACACAGCAAGAUUGUAGUUUCCAGGUUCCUUGCUUUAGGUAUUGCCACAUGACUGGGUUCCAGAAUAAGUAGAAUAUUCUGGAGCCUGUACUGACAUACAGCAGUUCCAUGUCAGACCCAUAUAGAACAUGCAGUCCUCACUUUCUUUACUCACCUACUGGCUGAAUGGAGAGGAAUCGAGUAAGCAUGUAGAAGAGGACAGAGCCUCAAGAUAUAAGGAAACUUUGUCACUAAAUGACUGUGUAGAACAAAGUCCCUCAUUCGACUGUGAAUUAUUGAGAGUUAAGCCACUGAAAUUAUGGAAUCACUCGUUAAAGUUUCUCUUUAUUCUUAUAAAUACAAACACCUGAAAAAAAAACAAUAAAAGUAAGAUACCAAGGUGUCAUGGUUGUGGGGUUUUUUAAAUGCUUUUCUUCUUUCCAUUUGUUCUCUAUAUUCCAUAGUUCCUUUUAUUAGUAAUUUAAGUGAAAAAGUCUAGAGUCUUGCAUAUGGUAAUAAACUACAUUUAUUUU